UACGUAGGGAGCAAGCGUUGUCCGGAAUCAUUGGGCGUAAAGAGCUCGUAGGCGGCUUGGUAAGUCGGAUGUGAAACCUCCAGGCUCAACCUGGAGUCGCCAUCCGAUACUGCCAUAGCUAGAGUCCGGUAGGGGCCCACGGAACUCCUGGUGUAGCGGUGAAGUGCGCAGAUAUCGGGAAGAACACCGGUGGCGAAGGCGGUGGGCUGGGCCGGCACUGACGCUGAGGAGCGAAAGCGUGGGGAGCGAACAGG
rnacentral:rRNA from 1 species